rnacentral:lncRNA from 1 species
GAUGGAUUUCCUACCUGCUGGAUGUGUGGACUCGGAGAACUGCGUCGUUCUUUCAAACUUGGACACACUGAAUUUUUGGGGCAUCUCCUGGGUGCUGCAGAGAGGCUCCGCGCGCUGGCGAGAGGGAGGUUCCCACGCAGACGGACGCCACCCGGGAUGCUACCGACUAAAGCAUAUGGUGAACAUCAGCCACUGCCUCCCAACUGUCACGCAGCCAUUACCGUGCUGCUUGAGUUUUAUGUGACACAAACAAUUCUCAGAGUUUUAUCAAAUUUAAUUUUUUCUAACCUUCAGCUUAGGAAAAAAUAUAGUCAUAAUGCAGAGGUCCAGCUCUCUGCAGAGAAAGGAGGGGGGCAGCAUAAUUCAGAUUUUGGGAGCUGAUAGGCUAAAUUUACCAUUGUGCGUGGUCAAGCUGCUAUUGAUGCUUGAGAGUUUUCAAUCGCUGUUAAUUGACUGGGGAAAAAAGAUAAUGUGUUUGAUCGAUCAGCAUGGACAAAUUUCAUUUAGGGGAUCAAUAACAGUUUAUACUUGACAGAGCAGAGGGACCACAUUUAUUUUUCCCUUUGAUUGAAUAAAUGUUUUCAAUGAGACUGCA